CUCCGUAGGUGAACCUGCGGAGGGAUCAUUACACAAAUAUGAAGGCGGGCUGGAACCUCUCGGGGUUACAGCCUUGCUGAAUUAUUCACCCUUGUCUUUUGCGUACUUCUUGUUUCCUUGGUGGGUUCGCCCACCACUAGGACAAACAUAAACCUUUUGUAAUUGCAAUCAGCGUCAGUAACAAAUUAAUAAUUACAACUUUCAACAACGGAUCUCUUGGUUCUGGCAUCGAUGAAGAACGCAGCGAAAUGCAAUAAGUAGUGUGAAUUGCAGAAUUCAGUGAAUCAUCGAAUCUUUGAACGCACAUUGCGCCCUUUGGUAUUCCAAAGGGCAUGCCUGUUCGAGCGUCAUUUGUACCCUCAAGCUUUGCUUGGUGUUGGGCGUCUUGUCUCUAGCUUUGCUGGAGACUCGCCUUAAAGUAAUUGGCAGCCGGCCUACUGGUUUCGGAGCGCAGCACAAGUCGCACUCUCCAUCAGCAAAGGUCUAGCAUCCAUUAAGCCUUUUUUCAACUUUUGACCUCGGAUCAGGUAGGGAUACCCGCUGAACUUAAGC
rnacentral:rRNA from 1 species